AGGCCAAACAACUCUAAAAGCCUUUGCAUCUCUGCCACCGGGCCUGAUGUUACAGAAGCGAUGCUCCAGGUUUCCUCCCAAGAUGUCUUCACACCACGAGCCGUUGGUCCGGGGGCGGAGGAAGGCUCGGAUCCUCUGCUGCUGACCCACUCCGCAGGACCGUGAACAGGAGCGCCACUCCCCCCAUUCUGUCCACGAACAGUUCCUCUCCACACAUUCUGCCCCCACACACACAUCGUCUCCAUCUGGGAACAUAUUACAAAAGCCACAAGACUGCUUGACAGAGUCAUUGAAUAUAGUAAAAUAGCCUCGCUUAGUAUUAGUGUCAAUUGUGGUGCUUUGGUUUAAUUGCUGGUAUCUCAUCUCCUUUACAAUUUCAACCUUGUUGUUACAGUUUAAUAUAAUUACAGAUUUGUUUACUGUAUUUACAGUAAUAUCGCAAUAUGUAUUCAUUAAAUUGAAAACGGUACACAGAGCUCCUUUGAAACACAGAGCAGUUUAUUAAGUUUAAGUAUAUGUUUCAGUUUAGGCCAGAAACACAGCUGAAUCAUUUGAAUGUUACUCCUGUUUACCCCCUCCCUGGAAUAAAAACUUCAAACCGUAAA